rnacentral:rRNA from 1 species
AGAGUUUGAUCAUGGCUCAGAUUGAACGCUGGCGGCAGGCCUAACACAUGCAAGUCGAACGGUAACAGGAAACAGCUUGCUGUUUCGCUGACGAGUGGCGGACGGGUGAGUAAUGUCUGGGAAACUGCCUGAUGGAGGGGGAUAACUACUGGAAACGGUAGCUAAUACCGCAUAACGUCGCAAGACCAAAGAGGGGGACCUUCGGGCCUCUUGCCAUCAGAUGUGCCCAGAUGGGAUUAGCUAGUAGGUGGGGUAACGGCUCACCUAGGCGACGAUCCCUAGCUGGUCUGAGAGGAUGACCAGCCACACUGGAACUGAGACACGGUCCAGACUCCUACGGGAGGCAGCAGUGGGGAAUAUUGCACAAUGGGCGCAAGCCUGAUGCAGCCAUGCCGCGUGUAUGAAGAAGGCCUUCGGGUUGUAAAGUACUUUCAGCGGGGAGGAAGGGAGUAAAGUUAAUACCUUUGCUCAUUGACGUUACCCGCAGAAGAAGCACCGGCUAACUCCGUGCCAGCAGCCGCGGUAAUACGGAGGGUGCAAGCGUUAAUCGGAAUUACUGGGCGUAAAGCGCACGCAGGCGGUUUGUUAAGUCAGAUGUGAAAUCCCCGGGCUCAACCUGGGAACUGCAUCUGAUACUGGCAAGCUUGAGUCUCGUAGAGGGGGGUAGAAUUCCAGGUGUAGCGGUGAAAUGCGUAGAGAUCUGGAGGAAUACCGGUGGCGAAGGCGGCCCCCUGGACGAAGACUGACGCUCAGGUGCGAAAGCGUGGGGAGCAAACAGGAUUAGAUACCCUGGUAGUCCACGCCGUAAACGAUGUCGACUUGGAGGUUGUGCCCUUGAGGCGUGGCUUCCGGAGCUAACGCGUUAAGUCGACCGCCUGGGGAGUACGGCCGCAAGGUUAAAACUCAAAUGAAUUGACGGGGGCCCGCACAAGCGGUGGAGCAUGUGGUUUAAUUCGAUGCAACGCGAAGAACCUUACCUGGUCUUGACAUCCACGGAAGUUUUCAGAGAUGAGAAUGUGCCUUCGGGAACCGUGAGACAGGUGCUGCAUGGCUGUCGUCAGCUCGUGUUGUGAAAUGUUGGGUUAAGUCCCGCAACGAGCGCAACCCUUAUCCUUUGUUGCCAGCGGUCCGGCCGGGAACUCAAAGGAGACUGCCAGUGAUAAACUGGAGGAAGGUGGGUAUGACGUCAAGUCAUCAUGGCCCUUACGACCAGGGCUACACACGUGCUACAAUGGCGCAUACAAAGAGAAGCGACCUCGCGAGAGCAAGCGGACCUCAUAAAGUGCGUCGUAGUCCGGAUUGGAGUCUGCAACUCGACUCCAUGAAGUCGGAAUCGCUAGUAAUCGUGGAUCAGAAUGCCACGGUGAAUACGUUCCCGGGCCUUGUACACACCACCCGUCACACCAUGGGAGUGGGUUGCAAAAGAAGUAGGUAGCUUAACCUUCGGGAGGGCGCUUACCACUUUGUGAUUCAUGACUGGGGUGAAGUCGUAACAAGGUAACCGUAGGGGAACCUGCGGUUG